AAUGAAGAGACAAGGUCUUGCUAUGUUGCUCAGGUUGGUCUUGAAUUCCUGGCCUCAAGGGAUCCUCCUCCAUUGGCCUCCCAAAGUGCUGGGAUUUGCCCAGCCCCUAACUGUUGUUUUGUUAAGUUGCAUUUCUCAAGAUUGGGCAGAGUAGCUUCCUAGACUUGGUGAUUUAAUUUUACUUUUCUUGUCUUGUUAUUUCUCUGCAUUCAAUGUUACCUUAAUUGUAAAAUAAAAAUUACCAAGACAUUGCUGAAUAUAGUUGUUGAUUAGUGUUCCCUUGAUAGUAGUCCUGCAUUUUUACUUUCAGCUACUGCUUAAUCACAUUCAUUUGCAAAAUUGGAAAAUUUUUACUUUGGCUAAUUACCAUAGGUUUAGAACUUUCUGGUCUUCAGCUCCAGAAAUGUAUCGCUGUGUUGAGAUCAUGUUUUAUUUCAUCCAUGUUUAUUUGAAUACUGCCCCUCUGAAAAGCUGACUGUUUUUGGAGCUUUUAUACACAAGUAUGAGUGAGGAAAUUACUUUAGGUGUAGAAUAAAAUUGUGUAGAAAUAAUUAUCUUUGAAAAAAUUUGGUAUUCAGGAUAUUGAAUUGGAAGUGUUGAAGAAGCAGCUGUUUUGUGUGUAAUACGUUUCUCUUGUUUGAGAAUUUACCAGUUUUUUGCAGUUGUAGCUUUGAACUAUCCAUUCCCCCCUUAAAUUUAGAUACCCUGACAACCAAAAAUCUCUUGAAUUGUCAUGAAGUACUUUAGUAGAAGUUUUAUGGAAAAACACAACAUAGCUAUGAUCUUUGCUGGAAGCUUCAAAAAGGCAUCAUCGUGUGAUGCUUUUUAGGUAGAAAAACUCCCAGAAAUAAGAUAAGGUACCUACACUGGGCAAAGCCCAAGCCUCUUACUCAUGUUUCCUGGUAAUCCACAGCAGUGGUUUUGCUCCUUUCAUGACAUUGUUUUUGUUGUAGUGUUUGUCUUUCAUAAAAAUUCUCCAUAAAAAUAUAUAAAAAUUACCUGUCUUCCAAAUCAAACUUUUAUCAAACCUUCCAAGCUGAAAGCUGGUACAAUUUAAGAUCAUUUUACCCAGGAACAGAGUAAUAAUUUAUUUUGUGUUUACUGUUUCAUUGGACUUACUGAUUUAUUGGUGGUGACUUGAUCUUAUGUGUACUUGGUGACCUUAAAGUAAAUUACCUGGGUAGUUGUGGUCAUUUGACAAGUUUUUAUUGAGCACACAGCCAUUUGCGCUCUUGGUGUACAGUGGUAUAAAGACAGACCAGGUCCCUGUUCUUACGGAGCUUAAAAUACUAUGGAAAGGAAGAGAAAAUAAACUAACAGAAAAAUAACAAUUUCAGCUGGCGACAAGUGCUACGAAGAAUUUAGAGAAGGGUAAGGAACUACAGAGUGAUGAGAACUGGGUGGAGUGACUGCUUUAUAGACAAUGUUGAGAUAAUGCAUUUAAUUUUUUAGGAAAAAGUAAUGCUACUUCCUUUUGGAGCCGGGGAUAAUUCUUAUGUAGGUUUACCUGUGCCAUUUAGCUCAUUUGGUUGGGGGACAGACAGCUUUUAGAUUUGGAGCCCUUGUGCAUAGGCUGCUAAACUUAUAAACUUAGUUCCAUGUUGUAGACUAAACCUAGGCCAGCUAAUUUACUAGUAUUGUUAGUCAUUAGGGUGGGAGAUUAUGAAUGGAUUCACUUACAUAUUAUUUAUUCAUGUGGCAUAUAUUUGUUGUGUAUUUCAGUAGGUGCUGAAGAAAAUUCCAGGAUUAAGAAAAACUUUCUCAAGUAGCUGUAGUUUACCAAAAUAGUUAUCAGAACUAAUUUGGUUCAUUAGGACUUUGAGUAAAUAGUAGGUCUCUCGUGUCCUAAAUGACUUGAGCUAACACAUUCUGCAGUCUUUCUGGCACUUCUUUUCUCUUUUGCCUCAUCACCCAUGCUUUUUCUCUUUGUGGCAUCUUCUGUGUUACUUUUCAUAACUAGUACUCCCACUUCCCUUUUUACCUAUAGAUACAAACUUUUUCAACGGUCGCAUACAUAGAAGUGCACAAAUCGUAAGUAUAAGGAUUUGAUAAAGUUUUGCAGAAUGAGCAUAUCUUUGCCACUAGCACCCAGAUUGAUUUUUUUUUUUUUUUUGAGACAGGUAUCUGGCUCUGUUGCCCAGGCUAGAGUGUGGUGGUGUAAUCACAGCUCACUGUAGCCCCUACUUUGAGGCCCAGGUGAUACUCUCACCUCAGCCUCCUGAGUAGUUGGGACCAUAGACAUGUGCCAUCAUGCCUGGCACAUUUUUAAGGGCUUUUUUUUUUUCUUUUUGUGAGACACGGUCUCCCUAUGUUGCCUAGGCUAGUGUCUUAUUUCUGGGCUCAAGCGAUCCUCCCGCCUCAGCCUCCCAGAGAGUUGGUAUUAUAGGCAUGAGCCACUGUGCUGGCUUGCACCUAGAUUCUUAAAGAGAACAUUACUAGAACAUUACCGGAAGCCCCUUGUGCACUGUCCCCUGUGGGCCACUUCUCCCACCCCAUUCCUGUCUUUUAAUACUAGAGAUCAGUUGUGCUUGUUUUUGAAAUUUAUGUGAGUGGAGUAUACUAUGUAUACAGUACACAGUAAAUACUGUAUGUACCACUGCCUAUAUACAGUAUACUCCACAGUGAGUGAAACAAGCCAGACUCAGAAGCAUACAUACUGUAUGUACCACUUUGCUUAGUAGCCACAGUGUAUGCACCAUGGUACAUGCAUAUACUUCUGAAUCUGGCUUGUUUCACUCAUGGUUAGGUGUGCAGGAUUCAUCCAUGUUGUUGUGUGCAGUUCUUGCUUAUUUUACCAGUCUGUCUUAUCCUGAGAAUAUCUUUGACAUUCAACUCUGCAUGCAGACCCUUCCUUACACGUUCUAGAGAGAGGACCUGUCUUCACCCUGUGUUUAUUACCCACAUACUUGAACAGCUGUUUCCUCCAGGCAUCAUUAUGCAAAAGGAAUGAAACCCGGUGUGUGCAGCUUUUUUAGAGGACGUAAAAGGAGUCAGCUCUUGCCUCUCAUCAAUAGUAUUGUUUAUCAGUCAUUUCUCUUUUGAGGCAUUGGUUGAAUAAAUGGGAAAAUUCCUGCUUUCAAGGAACUUAGCAGACUUGUUGACAGAUAAGACCAUAAGAAGAAAGCCAGUGAAGUACCCAGUGAUGUGAACGCCAUGGUAUGAGCAAGUACAUAAUAGAGACCACAAGUGCUUUUUAGAAGUUAGAGAUAGUCAUUCUCUGGGGCUUCCUCAGGAAAAUCCUCGCUGAAUCUGGGAUCUAAACUGGGCCUUAUGAUUCUUGGAUAUAAGUUCCCUACUCCCCGCCCCACACCCCCUCUAAAAAAAAAGUACUAGAAGUUACACACAGAACUGUAGCCUUGGAGGCUGUAGGCAGUGCAUUUAAAGUACUUCUGGAGUGGUUUUGAGCUUCAGAGCAUUGACACACUUCCCUAAAUAACUGUGACAAUUCUUUCUAUUUGCUGUUGCCCAUCGGUGAUUUCAGUGGCCAGUAGUCAUACUGGAAAGUCUGAUAAUAAAGCAGGGGAUCAGUCAUGUGGUACCAAACCAGUUGUGGGGAAUGUUAGAUGUGUUAAGAUGUGAUUAGCAACGACAUUCCUGUUUGUAAACUGGCAUCUAUGGCGGUUUAAAAAUGGUGGCAAAACCAUUUUGAGUAUUGUUGGAAAUGUUAUCUGUUCUGCCGUGUUAAUAUACCUAUAAGUUGGUAGUUGCAUCUUGUACCCUUGAUAGUCAUACUUUGUACAUUGUGUAUGCCACUCUUCUGUUGAGUAAUUUGGAUUAAUUACUUUGGAGAUUGAAGUCUUGACUCAUUCACUUCACUCAUUUAUUUAGCUGUAUUUUCAGUUCCAUGCAAUGAGUGACACAGACUGUGCUGCCAAAAAGGAAUUCUCAGUAAGGGCAAUGCACAUAAAUUACUGUGUUACUCAGAAAUCAUGAAUAGUUGAGAUCACAAGGAAAUCUACUUAAAUUGUCCUGUGGUUGGGAAAAGAAACUAGUGGAAGGAAUAUGUUAAAAAAGCAUCUUUCUUAAAAUGUAUUCAAAAUAUUUUUCUCUACAAUUUAAGAGCAUUAGCAAAUACAACCUAGGAUGAAACUUUAACAGCCUUUGAGAGGGACAAGAAAUGAAAUUAAGGGUGAUAUAUGAUGCCAGUAUCAUCGGUGUAUUGGGUCUCAUAAUACAUACAAUACAUGGUAGUUAGUCAUAGGGAGAAAACAAACCUGGUGGCUGCUUUCUAAGAACAAAUCAGAUUUCUUGUGUAGCUAUGUGGUUUAACUGUUCUUGCCCUUCUUUUACAAAACUAAACAGAGUGCUGGUUCUCAAACUUUAGCAUGUUAUCAGAAUCACUUGGAAGAAGACUUCUUCAACACAUUGCUGAGUCCCAUUCCCAGAGGUUCAGAAAAUUAGAUGUUGACAUUUUCAAAGUGAACUUAAGAGAAGAUAAUUUCAAGAAUUAACAUUCUUGAAAUGACAAAAUUACAGAGAUAAGAGAACACAUUAGUGGUUGCCAGGAGUUAGGACUAGUGGCAGGAGGGAGGGAGAUGGAUGUAACUGUAAAAGGGUAGCAAGAGGAAGAUCUUUGUGGUGAUGAACUUUCUUAUCCCAAAACGAAAAAACCAUUUACUGUAUCUGUAUUUCUGUUCUGAACCUUCUGGAUGUAUACUAGUCUUCCCCACCGACCCCCCGCCCCAUUAGUGGGAGAUAAAUUUUAAGACCACCCAGUGGAUGCCUGAAAUUGUGGAUAGAACUGAACCCUAGAUAAACUGUGUUUUUUUCCUAUGCAUACAUUCCUGUGAUAAAAGUUUAAUUAUACGUUAAGUACAGUUAAGAGAUUAACAAAAAUAACCUCACUACUCUUGCAUUUUGGGUCAUGAGUAAGUCAAAUAAGGGUGACUUAAACACAAGACGGAUACUACCACAGUCAAACUGAAAUGGGUAUUGACAGGCAGGAUGGUGUCUACAACAUGGAUAUCUUGAACAAAGGGGUGAUUCAUAUCCCUUGUGGGACAGAGUGGAACAGUGAG
rnacentral:lncRNA from 1 species